CUCCAAGGCAGCAUGGCCAUGGGCCGGUCAUGAGACCUCAGCGUCCCCAUUUCCUCCUCUCCAAAAUGGGAUGAUAACGGGACCAGCUUCUCGGUGCUGGGAAGGGCCAGGGCUCAUUGCAUUCACAUCAGCUGCAUAACAAGGAGCACGCUGCCCAGCCAAGCGCAGGCACCCAGUUAAUGCUUUUAUGUUUCGGAUCAAUGUGAGGCCCGAAGCCCACCAACUGCCCUCGGAUGAGCUGCAAAAGGCGGUGAGAAGCUGGGAGUGGCCAGGUACGGAAUAAAAGCCUGGGGAUGACUGAACCUGGGACAUCUGCGGAUGAAGCUGUCUUCCGAAGGUCUUUGCACGUACCGCCCAUUCUCCUAUGGGAGGCCUCCUUGACCUGGGGCUUGUCGUUCUGCUCAUCGUUCUGGGGAGCACUUGUACU